rnacentral:rRNA from 1 species
ACGCGGGCGUUAGGGACGGGACGAGGAGGGCGAAGCGGCAGCGGCCGCGGCGCGCGCGGGGGCAAAGGGGCGGCAGCGGCGGGCGCGGCAGCCCCUGCGUAGGGUCGCGUCAGGGGUGGCCGCGCCUCGUUGCUGGGUUGGGGAGGAGGNNNNNNNNNNNNNNNCCUUAAGCCGCCGGCACCGCCGCUACCUGUAGAUGUUGCACCUCCGGCGGCUCUAGGAGCGGGUGCUCUGGGAGUUAGAGGGGUAGCCGCUCCGGCGGGGGUAGAUGCUCUUCGACGAGCGGUGGAAGGGCUGUCGCCGAUUCAUGACCUUCGUCAUACACCUCAGUAUGUAACAGUGCUUGCUACUUCUCUGGCGGUUCGUCUAUAAGUCGUCUACGGACGAGUGGACGGGAGUAUAAUUAGAGACCGCAACAAUGUAGUUGAAACAAUUUUUUCAUUUGUCGUUUUCCCCGAGACUCCCAGACCUUCUCUGUUUUUUCCGAAAACUAAAGUACGAAUUGAUACAGCCGUUACUACACCGUAGACCGGGGCAAACCUACCUCAUGUAACGUAAGAACUUCAGUUACGGCCAAUACUGCGGGGUCCUUCUCAGUGUGGCGUACUGAUGAUAUGCAUUUCAUAUAGUCUUCCGUUAAAAUCAAGGUUGAUCAGUACAGCUCGUCGAUACCUUCCUAAUACUAUUGAAGCUUUUAAGUCAAUCGGCGUGGAACCGUUUUCCGAACGAUAGACUCAUAGUUGGCUUCAAAUUGUCACGAUUCCGACAUAUAUCUCUCGCAUUCUUCAUAUAACUACUAUAACUAACCUCGUACGACCGGUGGGGGAGAUGUCCGAGGAUGUUCCGAAAGGUUGUUGUGGACAGUUAAAGACUUAGCUCUAGUCAUAAACUCUUCCAUAUACGAAUGACAAUUCUUGGUGAGAAACUGAGAAACAUAGUAAACUUUACGUGUAUUAACUUAAGUCUGAUUACAGAAACAGAAAGGGAUGUACGGAAAUUAUUAAGAGAACAGAUACCAAACGACCAUUUAGAAGGCUGUGUAACUUAUCAAAAGACUUUAGGAGAGACCAUCCCAUCAUCUACGUACGGUCAUAAAUUGACCGUCCAUUGAGUCUUGAGUAAUUAGACAAAGUGUCCUUCUCGUUGUCACAAACCGUACCUUUUCUGAAGACUGUAAGCUUUUCCCCUUAGGAGUUUCUUAACUACAAUGUCGACGAUUAUCCGCAUAAUGGAAAUGAAUACUCGUUACGGAUUACAUAGAUAUGGUAGUAGGACUACAUACCAUACUAAUACGAUGUACCGUACGUUUCUUACCAAGAUGCCUAAGACGUUAGUUUUAUAAAGUCGCACGACAUUUUCGUGAGGGACCAAGACUUCAUGAUUUUAUACGGAAACGACUUGACCUUCUCAGACAUCCCCGCUAAGUCGGACGAUUCUGUUAUAUACUCAGAGAAUAUCGACUUUUACGUUCGUACAGUAGUGAACGUGUGUAAGUCAAAUAAGCCAAAAAUUCCUCUUGUCUUCCGUAACUUCGUCGAGCGUUCAUGAAAAACCUUCAAGCCUUCAACGGUUCGACGUGAAUAGUACAGAUACAACGUAUACGAUGUUACAGCAAAACGGAGCUGUUUCUACGCUUCCACCGAGUUUUACAAAAACUUCAACCAAAUUUCGCUAAAUACGUUCUUGGUCCUAUACAGGAGCUUAUACGUCUGAAGGACACAGCGAAUUUGCUGCUAUCUUUACAUGCACGUAACAAACUCGCUCGAGACUCGAAUGAAGGAGGACUCCUUAGGCAUCUCCAUACCUUUGCUAAACGAGUUAAACUCGUCUAAAUACCCCUAAACAGUUCGUACAAUUUCCACCUUGUUUCUUCCUUCCUUCGAAAUAGAUCCUGUAGUCUUCUACAGCAUAGCAGGAAUCUCUUGUGUGAAAUACUGCAACAAAGAUCUAUAUUAAUAUACCUAGAGACCGGUACGAGUAGUUUUCUUAACCUAAUAGACAGUUCUGUCCUCACCGAACGUUUCUUGUACAGAUUCUUCCGACUGUCCAGUCAAUACGAUUGAUCACCACCGCCAAGAUGGAAUCUAUUUCCGUGACAACCUCAACCACGGUUACGUUUCAAUAACGGCGUCAGAUGUUUUCAGCAGGCAGGACUCUGAAGAGCUUACCAGUAAAUACUAGGAUCUGUCUACUUUCCUGGUCACUAAAGUCGGUGUAGGUCACCCAUGUGUUUCCUCCAACUGCUUUAUAAGUUUUACGAAAGAGGUGGUGAGUACAGAAAGUAGUGUUUAAACGGACGAUAACUUCCAGGUAGUGGUCUAUAUCUGUAACACGAAUCGCAAGAUGACGUUUCGUGUGACGGUUGUCCUGUACUACAACCGUUUGGCAGACGAGGUCAAGGACCGGGACGGUGUUCACUAGAGAGACCAGGGGCGUUGGUUUUACCUAGUCAAGCAUCUGGAGGUUUUUCCUUCCGACAACUUUCCGUUCUCCUUCUUCUGCGUCGUCGUCGACGCGUCUCAGCUCGGUACGGUCUAUAUAAGUCCGAGUCCGUCUAGGUCUCCUCGGCGCCACCCCCGGGACGAGUCAGACCUAGCCGCCGCUACAGGUCACCUUCGUACAAAAGGCCCCUUGUUAGUCGGUUGUCGAGUUCGAUCAAGUGGUUAGACAUCGAUCAAGAGACCUAAGUGCAUCAAGCGAGCCAUCUAUACAUCAAACCGGCGAGUACCCCUUUCAAUACGUACAUGUUUACAUUGUCGUCUGACUAUUUGGACAUCGGACAUCCGUACCGCUCACGUAACGCGCUCUUAUACUUGGCUUUCAGGUUUUUUGCUGUCCUCUAACGUCUUAGUCACAGUAGACCUACUCAUUUCCGGUCUAGUACCUCUUAUCGUGCUACACUGAUUAUACGUAAACUUCUUCGUUUGUACACGUACAUAACACUAAUGACCUUUCGUACUUAGACUUAGGACGCUUUGUUAUCAACACAGUUAAGU